GGGGCCGUAGCUCAACUGGCAGAGCCACCGGCUCAUAACCGGAAGGUUCCAGGUUCGAGUCCUGGCGGCCCCA
rnacentral:tRNA from 1 species